GUCUAUACAUACCCAUGCUCCCUCACGCACCUUCUUGCAAAGAAAUAGAGAUGAGCUAGAGGGGGCCGGGGCCGGGAGAGCCAAGGGCCCGAGGGAGAUGGAGAAAGAUGUGAAGCUAUUUGCUUCUGAGUGGAAUGUUGUCUGGUUCAAGGUCUUUUGCUUUGUGAUCCAUCUGUGUAGAGCUUCUAAGUAUUCCUUGGAUCUGCAAGAUCUCGGACCAGGCUUCAUUCCCCUCAGAAAUAGCUUCAAAAAUGAUAUCGCGGAGAGUUAGGAGAGCUACUAGCUAGUGUAUAAAUUUGUUCUAGUUUUUUUUUUGAAAUAUUUGUUUGAGUGUUCGUGAGAUUCCUGGCCGUUCUUAGUAGUAUGCAUGGUGUGGAGCACCGUACUUCCGCUCCUGGAUCUUUACUACUACUCCACUGUGCUUUUUUGUUUGUUUGUUUGCUUGCUUGCUUGCUGCGAAAUCGAGGAGCAGCGCAAGAUUGGUGUAAUGAUGGCCUGCCUUUUGACCCCUCCUUUCUCUGUGCAUCUCUGUGCAUCUGGCAGGCAUGCAGCAGCAUAUGGCUUUGCUGAUAUCUGUUGCUUAUUUCUAAGUUCGAGGAUAGUUUUUGCGUGGUGCGCUGGACCUGCUGCUUCAAAGUUUUUGGAGAGCUUGGGACGAGAUCCACUAUUUAUAGGCGUGUAUUUUCUUCAUAUUAUGUUGACACCCAUGGAGGUUGAUGUAAACAACGGGAGCUCAUGCAUGCAUGUAUUCCUA
rnacentral:misc_RNA from 1 species